rnacentral:rRNA from 1 species
UCAAGUUAUUAAGGGUGCAGGGCGGAUGCUUGGCACUAGGAGCCGAUGAAGGACGUGAUAAGCUGCGAUAAGCUUCGGGGAGUUGCACGUAAACUUUGAUCCGAAGAUUUCCGAAUGAGGAAACUCACUUAGAGUAAUGUCUAAGUAUCAUUAAGUGAAUACAUAGCUUAAUGAGGGGAACUCAGGGAACUGAAACAUCUAAGUACCUGAAGGAAGAGAAAGAAAUUCGAUUCCGUAAGUAGCGGCGAGCGAACGCGGAUUAGCCCAAACCAAUAAAGUUUUCUUUAUUGGGGUUGCGGACAUAUCAUAACGAAGAGGUAUCGUAAUUGAAGAGGUUUGGAAAGACCCACCACAGAAGGUAAUAGUCCUGUAUGUUAAACGAGAAGACUUUAGAUAUGAUCCAGAGUACCACGGGACACGUGAAACCCUGUGGGAAGCAGGAGGGACCACCCUCCAAGGCUAAAUACUACCUAGUGACCGAUAGCGUAUAGUACCGUGAGGGAAAGGUGAAAAGAACCCCGGGAGGGGAGUGAAAUAGAACCUGAAACCCUGCACUUACAAGCUGUGGAAGCACAUUUCUUGUGUGACCGCGUACUUUUUGUAGAACGGGCCAACGAGUUACGUUAAGUAGCAAGGUUAAGCACUUAAGGUGCGGAGCCGUAGCGAAAGCGAGUUUUAACUGAGCGUUCAGUUACUUGACGUAGACCCGAAACCGGGCGACCUACCCAUGAGCAGGAUGAAGCGAAAGUAAAAUUUCGUGGAGGUCCGAACCCACGAGCGUUGAAAAGCUCGGGGAUGACUUGUGGGUAGCGGUGAAAUUCCAAUCGAGCCCGGAGAUAGCUGGUUCUCCCCGAAAUAGCUUUAGGGCUAGCCUCAAGGUGAGAGAUACGGAGGUAGAGCACUGAAUGUCCUAGGGGGUAUUGCACCUACCGAAGACUAUCAAACUCCGAAUGCCGUCAUCUUAUACUUGGGAGUCAGACUGUGGGUGAUAAGAUUCAUAGUCGAAAGGGCAACAGCCCAGAUCGUCAGCUAAGGUCCCUAAAUGUAAGUUAAGUGGUAAAGGAUGUGGGAUUGCACAGACAACCAGGAUGUUGGCUUAGAAGCAGCCACUCAUUCAAAGAGUGCGUAAUAGCUCACUGGUCGAGUGAUCCUGCGCCGAAGAUUUCCGGGGCUAAAACUUACUACCGAAGCUACGGCAUCAGUAAUGAUGGGUAGGGGAGCUUCCCAUACGGGUUGAAGCAUGACCGUAAGGACAUGUGGACAGUAUGGGAGUGAGAAUGUUGGCAUGAGUAGCGAGAUGUGGGUGAGAAUCCCACAGGCCGUAAACCCAAGGUUUCCAGGGGAAGGUUCGUCCGCCCUGGGUUAGUCGGGACCUAAGCUGAGGCCGAAAGGCGUAGGUGAUGGACAACAGGUUGAUAUUCCUGUACUACCGAUAACCGUUUGAGAGAAGGGAUGACACAGUAGGAUAAGCUAAGCACACUGUUGGUUAUGUGUGCCCAAGCAUUGAGGCAGUCAAAGUAGGCAAAUCCGCUUUGAUAAUGCUGGGAUGUGAUGGGGAGCGAAAUUUAGUAGCGAAGUAGCUGAUUUCACACUGUCAAGAAAAGUCUCUAUCGAGGUUAAAGGUACCCGUACCGCAAACCGACACAGGUGGGUGAGGAGAGUAUCCUAAGGCCAGCGAGAGAACUGUUGUUAAGGAACUCGGCAAAAUGACCCCGUAACUUAGGGAUAAGGGGUGCCACCAUCAGGUGGCCGCAGAGAAUAGGCCCAAGCGACUGUUUACCAAAAACAUAGGUUUCUGCUAAGUCGCAAGACGAUGUAUAGGAGCUGACGCCUGCCCGGUGCUGGAAGGUUAAGGGGAUCUGUUAGAGCAAUCGAAGCAGUGAACUUAAGCCCCAGUAAACGGCGGCCGUAACUAUAACGGUCCUAAGGUAGCGAAAUUCCUUGUCGGGUAAGUUCCGACCCGCACGAAAGGCGUAACGAUUUGGGCACUGUCUCAACAACAGACUCGGUGAAAUUGUAAUUCCGGUGAAGAUGCCGGAUACCUGCGACAGGACGGAAAGACCCCAUGGAGCUUUACUGUAGCUUGACAUUGGGUCUUGGUACUACAUGUACAGGAUAGGUGGGAGCUUUGAAACCAGGACGCCAGUUUUGGCGGAGCCAUCCUUGGGAUACCACCCUUGUAGUACUGGGACUCUAACCAUAGGCCAUGAAUCUGGUCUUGGGACACUGUCAGGUGGGCAGUUUGACUGGGGCGGUCGCCUCCCAAAAGGUAACGGAGGCGCUCAAAGGUUCUCUCAGUACGGUCGGAAAUCGUACGUAGAGUGUAAAGGCAAAAGAGAGCUUGAUUGCAAGACAUACAGGUCGAGCAAGGAUGAAAAUCGGACUUAGUGAUCCGGUGGUUCUGCGUGGAAGGGCCAUCGCUCAACGGAUAAAAGCUACCCUGGGGAUAACAGGCUUAUCUCCCCCAAGAGUCCACAUCGACGGGGAGGUUUGGCACCUCGAUGUCGGCUCAUCACAUCCUGGGGCUGUAGUAGGUCCCAAGGGUUGGGCUGUUCGCCCAUUAAAGUGGUACGCGAGCUGGGUUCAGAACGUCGUGAGACAGUUCGGUCCCUAUCCGUCGCAGGCGUAGGAAAUUUGAGAAGACCUGUCCUUAGUACGAGAGGACCGGGAUGGACGUACCUCUGGUGUACCAGUUGUUCUGCCAAGGGCAUGGCUGGGUAGCUAUGUACGGAAUGGAUAAGCGCUGAAAGCAUCUAAGCGCGAAGCCAACUUCAAGAUAAGAUUUCCCACCGCAAGGGUAAGACCCCAGAAAGACUAUCUGGUUGAUAGGUCGAAGGUGUAAGUGCAGCAAUGUAUUUAGCUUAUCGAUACUAAUAGGUCGAGGACUUGACC